CUCUAUGCGUCCAGAGUUUGAUCCUGGCUCAGGACGAACGCUGGCGGCGUGCCUAAUACAUGCAAGUCGAGCGGAUUUAGUCGGGAACUUGCUCCUGACUGAGUUAGCGGCGGACGGAUGAGUAACACGUAGGUAACCUGCCCGUAAGACCGGGAUAACAUUCGGAAACGGAUGCUAAUAGCGGAUACGCAAUGCCCUCGCAUGGGGGAAUUGGGAAAGGCGGAGCAAUCUGCCGCUUACGGAUGGACCUGCGGCGCAUUAGCUAGUUGGUGAGGUAACGGCUCACCAAGGCGACGAUGCGUAGCCGACCUGAGAGGGUGAUCGGCCACACUGGGACUGAGACACGGCCCAG
rnacentral:rRNA from 1 species